rnacentral:rRNA from 1 species
UUUUACGGAGAGUUUGAUCCUGGCUCAGGACGAACGCUGGCGGCGUGCUUAACACAUGCAAGUCGAACGAUGAUGCCCAGCUUGCUGGGUGGAUUAGUGGCGAACGGGUGAGUAACACGUGAGUAACCUGCCCCUGACUCUGGGAUAAGCGUUGGAAACGACGUCUAAUACUGGAUAUGACUGCCGGCCGCAUGGUCUGGUGGUGGAAAGAUUUUUUGGUUGGGGAUGGACUCGCGGCCUAUCAGCUUGUUGGUGAGGUAAUGGCUCACCAAGGCGACGACGGGUAGCCGGCCUGAGAGGGUGACCGGCCACACUGGGACUGAGACACGGCCCAGACUCCUACGGGAGGCAGCAGUGGGGAAUAUUGCACAAUGGGCGAAAGCCUGAUGCAGCAACGCCGCGUGAGGGAUGACGGCCUUCGGGUUGUAAACCUCUUUUAGUAGGGAAGAAGGGAGCUUGCUCUUGACGGUACCUGCAGAAAAAGCACCGGCUAACUACGUGCCAGCAGCCGCGGUAAUACGUAGGGUGCAAGCGUUGUCCGGAAUUAUUGGGCGUAAAGAGCUCGUAGGCGGUUUGUCGCGUCUGCUGUGAAAUCCCGAGGCUCAACCUCGGGCUUGCAGUGGGUACGGGCAGACUAGAGUGCGGUAGGGGAGAUUGGAAUUCCUGGUGUAGCGGUGGAAUGCGCAGAUAUCAGGAGGAACACCGAUGGCGAAGGCAGAUCUCUGGGCCGUAACUGACGCUGAGGAGCGAAAGCAUGGGGAGCGAACAGGAUUAGAUACCCUGGUAGUCCAUGCCGUAAACGUUGGGCGCUAGAUGUAGGGACCUUUCCACGGUUUCUGUGUCGUAGCUAACGCAUUAAGCGCCCCGCCUGGGGAGUACGGCCGCAAGGCUAAAACUCAAAGGAAUUGACGGGGGCCCGCACAAGCGGCGGAGCAUGCGGAUUAAUUCGAUGCAACGCGAAGAACCUUACCAAGGCUUGACAUACACCGGAAACGGCCAGAGAUGGUCGCCCCCUUGUGGUCGGUGUACAGGUGGUGCAUGGUUGUCGUCAGCUCGUGUCGUGAGAUGUUGGGUUAAGUCCCGCAACGAGCGCAACCCUCGUUCUAUGUUGCCAGCGCGUUAUGGCGGGGACUCAUAGGAGACUGCCGGGGUCAACUCGGAGGAAGGUGGGGAUGACGUCAAAUCAUCAUGCCCCUUAUGUCUUGGGCUUCACGCAUGCUACAAUGGCCGGUACAAAGGGCUGCGAUACCGUAAGGUGGAGCGAAUCCCAAAAAGCCGGUCUCAGUUCGGAUUGAGGUCUGCAACUCGACCUCAUGAAGUCGGAGUCGCUAGUAAUCGCAGAUCAGCAACGCUGCGGUGAAUACGUUCCCGGGCCUUGUACACACCGCCCGUCAAGUCAUGAAAGUCGGUAACACCCGAAGCCGGUGGCCUAACCCUUGUGGAAGGAGCCGUCGAAGGUGGGAUCGGUGAUUAGGACUAAGUCGUAACAAGGUAGCCGUACCGGAAGGUGCGGCUGGAUCACCUCCUUUCUAAGGA